UACGAAGGGGGCUAGCGUUGCUCGGAAUUACUGGGCGUAAGGGGGCGUAGGCGGGUCUUUAAGUCAGAGGGGAAAUCCUGGAGCUCAACUCCAGAACUGCCUUUGAUACUGAGGAUCUUGAGUUCGGGAGAGGUGAGUGGAACUGCGAGUGUAGAGGUGAAAUUCGUAGAUAUUCGCAAGAACACCAGUGGCGAAGGCGGCUCACUGGCCCGAUACUGACGCUGAGGCACGAAAGCGUGGGGAGCAAACAGG
rnacentral:rRNA from 1 species